rfam:Ovis aries breed Texel chromosome 3, whole genome shotgun sequence.
UCCUUGGCGGUCCAGGGGCUAAGACUCUGCGCUCCCAAUGCAGAAGGCCUGGGUUCAACCCCUGGUCAGGGAA